GUCCCCAUCGUCUAGUCUGGCCCAGGACACCGCCCUUUCACGGCGAUAACAGGGGUUCGAAUCCCCUUGGGGACGCCA
rnacentral:tRNA from 1 species